rnacentral:rRNA from 1 species
UGAACGCUGGCGGUAGGCCUAACACAUGCAAGUCGAACUGCAGCACAGUAAGAGCUUGCUCUUACGGGUGGCGAGUGGCGGACUGGUGAGGAAUACAUCGGAAUCUACUUUUUCGUGGGGGAUAACGUAGGGAAACUUACGCUAAUACCGCAUACGACCUACGGGUGAAAGCAGGGGAUCUUCGGACCUUUCGCGAUUGACUGAGCCGAUGUCGGAUUAGCUAGUUGGCGGGGUAAAGGCCCACCAAGGCGACGAUCCGUAGCUGGUCUGAGAGGAUGAUCAGCCACACUGGAACUGAGACACGGUCCAGACUCCUACGGGAGGCAGCAGUGGGGAAUAUUGGACAAUGGGCGCAAGCCUGAUCCAGCCAUACCGCGUGGGUGAAGAAGGCCUUCGGGUUGUAAAGCCCUUUUGUUGGGAAAGAAAAGCAGCAGGUUAAUACCCCGCUGUUCUGACGGUACCCAAAGAAUAAGCACCGGCUAACUUCGUG